rnacentral:rRNA from 1 species
AGUGAACGCUGGCGGUAGGCCUAACACAUGCAAGUCGAACGGCAGCACAGGAGAGCUUGCUCUCUGGGUGGCGAGUGGCGGACGGGUGAGGAAUACAUCGGAAUCUACUCUGUCGUGGGGGAUAACGUAGGGAAACUUACGCUAAUACCGCAUACGUCCUACGGGUGAAAGCAGGGAACCUUCGGCCCUUGCGCGAUUGAAUGAGCCGAUGUCGGAUUAGCUAGUUGGCGGGGUAAAGGCCCACCAAGGCGACGAUCCGUAGCUGGUCUGAGAGGAUGAUCAGCCACACUGGAACUGAGACACGGUCCAGACUCCUACGGGAGGCAGCAGUGGGGAAUAUUGGACAAUGGGCGCAAGCCUGAUCCAGCCAUACCGCGUGGGUGAAGAAGGCCUUCGGGUUGUAAAGCCCUUUUGUUGGGAAAGAAAUCCAGCUGGCUAAUACCCGGUUGGGAUGACGGUACCCAAAGAAUAAGCACCGGCUAACUUCGUGCCAGCAGCCGCAGUAA